rnacentral:rRNA from 1 species
UGGGGAAUAUUGCACAAUGGGCGCAAGCCUGAUGCAGCCAUGCCGCGUGUGUGAAGAAGGCCUUCGGGUUGUAAAGCACUUUCAGCGAGGAGGAAGGUGGUGAGCUUAAUACGCUCAUCAAUUGACGUUACUCGCAGAAGAAGCACCGGCUAACUCCGUGCCAGCAGCCGCGGUAAUACGGAGGGUGCAAGCGUUAAUCGGAAUUACUGGGCGUAAAGCGCACGCAGGCGGUUUGUUAAGUCAGAUGUGAAAUCCCCGGGCUCAACCUGGGAACUGCAUUUGAAACUGGCAAGCUAGAGUCUCGUAGAGGGGGGUAGAAUUCCAGGUGUAGCGGUGAAAUGCGUAGAGAUCUGGAGGAAUACCGGUGGCGAAGGCGGCCCCCUGGACGAAGACUGACGCUCAGGUGCGAAAAGCGUGGGGAGCAAAACAGGAUUAGAUACCCUGGUAGUCCACGCUGUAAAACGAUGUCGAUUUUGGAGGUUGUGCCCCUUGAGGCGUGGNUUCCGGAGCUAACGCGUUAAAUCGACCGCC